GAAAUGCGAUAAGUAAUGUGAAUUGCAGAAUUCCGUGAAUCAUCGAAUCUUUGAACGCACAUUGCGCCCUCUGGUAUUCCGGGGGGCAUGCCUGUCCGAGCGUCAUUGCUCACCCUCAAGCGCGGCUUGUGUGUUGGGCCCCCGCGUCCUUGCCAUUUAAAGGACGGGCCCGAAAGGCAGUGGCGGCGUCGCGGUUAUCCGAUCAGCCAGAGCGUAUGGGGACUCUGUUCACACGUUCGGGGGCGGACCGACGCCAGUCCGGUUAACAAUCUUUCUUCCAAGGUUGACCUCGGAUCAGGUAGGGAUACCCGCUGAACUUAAGC
rnacentral:misc_RNA from 1 species